GUGAGGAAUUUUCCGCAAUGGGCGAAAGCCUGACGGAGCAAUGCCGCGUGAAGGAUGAAGGCCUAUGGGUUGUAAACUUCUUUUCUCAGAAAAGAAUUAUGACGGUAUCUGAGGAAUAAGCAUCGGCUAACUCUGUGCCAGCAGCCGCGGUAAGACAGAGGAUGCAAGCGUUAUCCGGAAUGAUUGGGCGUAAAGCGUCUGUAGGUUGUUUAUAAAGUAUUCUGUCAAAGAUUAGGGCUUAACCCUAGAUAGGCAGAAUAAACUUUUAAGCUAGAGUGUGGUAGAGGCAGAGGGAAUUCCCGGUGGAGCGGUGAAAUGCGUAGAUAUCGGGAGGAACACCAAAGGCGAAGGCACUCUGCUGGGCCAAUACUAACACUGAGAGACGAAAGCGAGGGGAGCAAAUGGGAUUAGAUACCCGGGUAGUCC
rnacentral:rRNA from 1 species